GACGAACGCUGGCGGCGUGCUUAACACAUGCAAGUCGAACGGAAAGGCCCUGCCUUUGUGGGGUGCUCGAGUGGCGAACGGGUGAGUAACACGUGAGUAACCUGCCCUUGACUUUGGGAUAACUUCAGGAAACUGGGGCUAAUACCGGAUAGGAGCUCCUGCUGCAUGGUGGGGGCUGGAAAGUUUCGGCGGUUGGGGAUGGACUCGCGGCUUAUCAGCUUGUUGGUGGGGUAGUGGCUUACCAAGGCUUUGACGGGUAGCCGGCCUGAGAGGGUGACCGGCCACAUUGGGACUGAGGUACGGCCCAGACUCCUACGGGAGGCAACAGUGGGGAAUAUUGCACAAUGGGCGGAAGCCUGAUGCAGCAACGCCGCGUGCGGGAUGACGGCCUUCGGGUUGUAAACCGCUUUCGCCUGUGACGAAGCGUGAAUGACGGUAAUGGGUAAAGAAGCACCGGCUAACUACGUG
rnacentral:rRNA from 1 species